rnacentral:rRNA from 1 species
GACGAACGCUGGCGGCGUGCCUAACACAUGCAAGUCGAACGGAGAAUUUUAUUUCGGUAGAAUUCUUAGUGGCGAACGGGUGAGUAACGCGUAGGCAACCUGCCCUUUAGACGGGGACAACAUUCCGAAAGGAGUGCUAAUACCGGAUGUGAUCAUCUUGCCGCAUGGCAGGAUGAAGAAAGAUGGCCUCUACAAGUAAGCUAUCGCUAAAGGAUGGGCCUGCGUCUGAUUAGCUAGUUGGUAGUGUAACGGACUACCAAGGCGAUGAUCAGUAGCCGGUCUGAGAGGAUGAACGGCCACAUUGGGACUGAGACACGGCCCAAACUCCUACGGGAGGCAGCAGUGGGGAAUCUUCCGCAAUGGACGAAAGUCUGACGGAGCAACGCCGCGUGAGUGAUGAAGGAUUUCGGUCUGUAAAGCUCUGUUGUUUAUGACGAACGUGCAGUGUGUGAACAAUGCAUUGCAAUGACGGUAGUAAACGAGGAAGCC